CCAGCAAGCCCUCCCUCCCUCGCACCUUGCAUUGUCUCCAUCCUGUGUGCUAACCCUCCUCCCUAGAGUGACUGCUCCCCAUCCUCGGGUGGCCCCGUGGUCUGUUAAUUUGUUUUGGCUCAGCUUUUCUCUGACCCAUCCCCCCUCUGGCUCUGGCUGUGCCUCUGUGACCAGCUUGGGCUUACACAUUGGACAUUGAACUGCCCGGAUGCUCGGCCACAGCACUGCCUCUCCCACCCCUCCUGAACCAUGACAAUAAAGAAAAUAGUUAUUUAGGGUCCUUUGUGCAUUGACCUUAACAUAUACAGUCUUCUACUCUCAAGUAUUCUUGACUGGGAAAAAAAACAAAAAACGGUGGAAAGACAAAUGUCAAUAAAAUCAUUGAAUUGAUUUGCAGUUUGUGUGGGAGUGAAUUUGGUGAGGGGAUGCCUGGAGGCUAUUGAGGCAAUGCUUUCAUUUUAGCAUUAAGGAAGAAUUUCUUUGGUUUGUGACAAGGGAUCGUUGAAACCGUUCAAUUGAGUGAGUGAUUGGUGGCCAAACUCCUGAAAAAGCAUUUGUGUGACCCGAUCAGGUGGCUCAAAGUUGGAUUAAGCAAACCAAACAAGGCCUGUGAAUUAAGACAUUUUGCAUGGGGCAAGCCACUUGUCCUACUGCUUAAUCCCUGUAAGAACCACUUGCAUGCUGCUUAUUGAAGCAUUGUCCUUAUACAAAAUUCCUUUCUCUUCACCUGUUACUUCUGAUUUGAUUGAACUGUUUUGUUUUAAGGCAAAGUGCAAAUGUAGUCACUGAUUUUACUAGAAAACAGUUUUAAGUAGUUUUUUUGUUUGUUUGUUUUUUUGUUUUUUGUUUUUGGUUUGGAAAAAGACUUAAGGAAAGACUUUGAAAGAAAAAAACUUAAGAAAAAAAAAAUCACUUGAUUGCUUUUUCUUCCAGGGAAAGUGACAGAUAUAUUUGGGAGGAUGCAUUUUGGAAAUGUUUCUCAGGAAAAAUUCUAUUACUCAGGUGACAGAUAUUGAAAGCUGGGAACUCAUGAACAAUCUGAACAAUUGUUUUGCCUUGUGAAGUUGGUGAAGUUAACUUUUUAAAAAAAUCAGGUUUGAAAAAUAUUGUGAUAGGAAAAAGAGAGGAACUCUUUACCAGGUAAAUACCAAAAUAUAUUUAUUGUGUUACUUUUAUGGAUUUUACUAGUACCUUCCUGAGCUCUUUGGAAUAACUUCCUCAUGAAGUAAUAAAGGAAGACUUGAAUAUACUUUACAAGUUUAACUCCAGUGUUGUUCUGAGGAAAAAUUAUUUCUUUUCCUCUAGUAAAAACUGUGUUCAUAUAAUUAUCUUGGGAAAUGUGGUUUUGAGGUCAAUAAAAGGGGGUCUUCUUGCCUGUAGACUACGUUUUCUCCGUGUGAACUGGAGUUUAGGCAUCAGAGCCUCUUUUCCUACCCACCCUUCUCCUUCUGCCAACCUCUUCACUCAGAGUCCUUCCUGAACUUGGAAAACAGCUGCUUCCUCUGGGGCCUCAGCCCUUCGCUUCUUGGUUCAGAGCUGAGUCCAAAGGACUGUUUUGGGAAUCAGUAGCGGACAGGCAUGGCACAGCCUUCCCUGUCCUGGUGUUGGCUGCCCCACCUCAGAAGCUGCACAAAUGCCUCCUUCACCAGGCCCCUUGCCCCAUGGAGACCCAUGAACAAAAGCCUCUAGGCUUCCUGCCCCACUCCACGCCCCAGUCCCCUGUCUUGCCCAGGAGUGUCUGAGUCUCAAUCAGGAGGUGGGUACAUGCAGGGCUCAGUUUUGGCUAAAGUGUUCUGCAGAAAAGAAGAGCAAGACCCAGAAGAGUCUACAAGCUUUUGUCACAUUUGUGAGUUGGGGAGGUGAUGGGUGACUUAGAGUGGGACACUCUGCUGUGGGGUGGCCUGGCGUCUGGAUCACACUAUUUACCUCUCCGAGCCUCACUUUCUUUAUGUUUGAAGCAGAGAUAAUAAUACCUGGUCACAUGUUGUUGUGGGGAUUAAAUUGAAUGAUGCAUCUAAAAUACUUUGCAUACUUGCUGACAUAUUAGGAAUCACAAAAGAGCAUUUCCAGACUUUUUCACUGACACCUGUAAGAUGCCCCCACUGUGGGUAUAUAGUAUCUUAUAUUGGUGCUGCCCCAGGAGUGCAUAUCUGUCCAGCACCAGGUUGUGUCAGGUAGAACAGAUUCAGCACAUGUUUGUAGCAAACAGCUCAAAGAAAGCCUCCAAGGCAUGAUUUGAGAGACAGUGAUGAUAAUGUAGGAACUGAUGGUAUUUCCCAUCAUGGCGUAGUGGUUAACGAAUCCGACUAGGAACCAUGAGGUUGCUGGUUCGAUCCCUGGUCUUGCUCAGUGGGUUAAGGAUCCAGCAUUUCCGUGAGCUGUGGUGUAAGUCGCAGAUGCGGCUCGGAUCCCACGUUGCUGUGGCUCUAGUGUAGGCUGGCGGCUGCAGCUCCGACCGACCCCUAGCCUGGGAACCUCCACAUGCUGCGGGAAUGGACCUAGAAAAGGCAAAAAG
ensembl:lncRNA